AGAAGAGCCAUCUAUUGGAGCGCGUGAGAAGCUCCAACCAAAGAUCAAUGGCAAUACUAUCACCGAGCACACCGCAUCGAUUACGUCACGCGAUGUCAAGAAACCACAACAGAUGGCGCUGAAGCACACCUAUAUAAACGAUUGCACGGACGCUUAACGUCUCUCAUUCUCAUUUGAACUUUCAACUGAAAUAUUGUAAACGCUUUAUUGUAAAGUAAUAAAUCCCAGUAUAUCUUCAAAGUCGCCUGAUUUACCCGUGUUGAUCCAUACACACAAGAAGAUUAGGAGUCACAGACAAUAGCUAGAAAUUAGAAGCCUAGGAACACACUCUGAACACGCAAACAUUGGACCUUCAGAGCCGCAUCAUCCAUCAUCACAUCGAGGGAUCAGCAAAGGGUACCGUGUUGUGCUUCCUCACGAGUCACGUACGCAGUUUACAGGAAUUUGACCCCAACGACUACUCUCCACUCACUCCUGCCCACUUCACUAUUGGUCGGCCGCUGACUGCACCUGCAGAGAGUGAUGUUACCGCUGCAACCACGCACACACUCAAUCGUUACCAGCGAGUUGAACAGCUGAGGCAGACAUUUUGGAGGAGAUGGUCAGAGCUUCAGAAACGCAGUGACGGCGUACCAAGGGUUGCUGUCAUUCGGACGGCCACGGGCGUCAUACACAGGGCAUUCUCAAAGAUAUGCCCACUUCCGGUCGCUGAGGUGCCAGGUUCGAGGCUCGGCGCGUGACACGACGUGAGCUGAGAUGUUGAGAGGGAGUCUCUCAAGGCCCGCCGGAAUGUUAAGAAGAGCCAUCUAUUGGAGCGCGUGAGAAGCUCCAACCAAAGAUCAAUGGCAAUACUAUCACCGAGCACACCGCAUCGAUUACGUCACGCGAUGUCAAGAAACCACAACAGAUGGCGCUGAAGCACACCUAUAUAAACGAUUGCACGGACGCUUAACGUCUCUCAUUCUCAUUUGAACUUUCAACUGAAAUAUUGUAAACGCUUUAUUGUAAAGUAAUAAAUCCCAGUAUAUCUUCAAA